rnacentral:rRNA from 1 species
UACGUAGGGCGCAAGCGUUUGUCCGGAAUUAUUGGGCGUAAAGAGCUCGUAGGCGGCUUGUCACGUCGGGUGUGAAAGCCCGGGGCUUAACCCCCGGGUCUGCAUUCGAUACGGGCAGGCUAGAGUGUGGUAGGGGGAGAUCGAAUUCCUGGUGUAGCGGUGAAAUGCGCAGAUAUCUGGAGGAACACCGGUGGCGAAGGCGGCAUCCUGGACCGGCAUUGACGCUGAGGCGCGAAAAGCCAGGGGGAGCAAAA